rnacentral:rRNA from 1 species
CCCUGCCAUUUGUACACACCGCCCGUCGCUACUACCGAUUGAAUGGUUUAGUGAGUUCCACGGAUUGGCAGCCUCGAUUGCGCAAGCUUUCGGCGUCGCCGAGAAGUGGAUCAAACUUGAUCAUUUAG